rnacentral:rRNA from 1 species
UACAGAGGGUGCAAGCGUUAAUCGGAAUGACUGGGCGUAAAGAGCUCGUAGGCGGUAAGAUGUGUCAUAGGUGAAAUCCCCGGGCUUAACCUGGGAACUGCCUGUGAAACUGUCUGACUAGAAUAUAAGAGAGGUAAGUGGAAUUUCCGGUGUAGCGGUGAAAUGCGUAGAUAUCGGAAAGAACACCAGUGGCGAAGGCGACUUACUGGCUUAAUAUUGACGCUGAGGAGCGAAAGCGUGGGGAGCAAACAGG